UUACCUCAGUAACGGCGAGUGAAGCGGUAACAGCUCAAAUUUGAAAUCUGGCCUCACGGCCCGAGUUGUAAUUUGUAGAGGAUGCUUCGAGCAUGGUCCGGCCUAAGUUCCUUGGAACAGGACGUCAUAGAGGGUGAGAAUCCCGUAUGCGGCCGGGUGCCUACGCUCAUGUGAAGCUCCUUCGACGAGUCGAGUUGUUUGGGAAUGCAGCUCAAAAUGGGUGGUAAAUUUCAUCUAAAGCUAAAUAUUGGCCAGAGACCGAUAGCGCACAAGUAGAGUGAUCGAAAGAUGAAAAGCACUUUGGAAAGAGAGUUAAACAGUACGUGAAAUUGUUGAAAGGGAAGCGCUUGCGACCAGACUUGCGUGCGGCCGAUCAUCCGGUGUUCUCACCGGUGCACUCGGCCGUGCUCAGGCCAGCAUCGGUUUCGGCGGCUGGAUAAAGGCCCUAGGAAUGUGGCUCCUCUCGGGGAGUGUUAUAGCCUAGGGUGCAAUGCAGCCCGCUGGGACCGAGGACCGCGCUUCGGCUAGGAUGCUGGCGUAAUGGUCGUAAGCGGCCCGUCUUGAAACACGGACCAAGGAGUCUAACAUCUAUGCGAGUGUUUGGGUGUCAAACCCAUACGCGUAAUGAAAGUGAACGGAGGUGAGAACCCUUAAGGGUGCAUCAUCGACCGAUCCUGAUGUCUUCGGAAGGAUUUGAGUAAGAGCAUAGCUGUUGGGACCCGAAAGAUGGUGAACUAUGCCUGAAUAGGGUGAAGCCAGAGGAAACUCUGGUGGAGGCUCGCAGCGGGUUCUGACGUGCAAAUCGAUCGUCAAAUUUGGGUAUAGGGGCGAAAGACUAAUCGAACCAUCUAGUAGCUGGUUCCUGCCGAAGU
rnacentral:rRNA from 1 species